UACGUAGGGGGCAAGCGUUGUCCGGAAUCAUUGGGCGUAAAGCGCGUGUAGGCGGCCCGGUAAGUCCGCUGUGAAAGUCAAGGGCUCAACCCUUGGAUGCCGGUGGAUACUGUCGGGCUAGAGUCCGGAAGGGGCGAGUGGAAUUCCUGGUGUAGCGGUGAAAUGCGCAGAUAUCAGGAGGAACACCAAUGGCGAAGGCAGCUCGCUGGGACGUGACUGACGCUGAGACGCGAAAGCGUGGGGAGCAAACAGG
rnacentral:rRNA from 1 species